UCUGACUCCAAAAUCACAGACUUUAACAAUCACACUGAUGACUUCACAACACAUAAAGGUCAGAGCACAGAAAACAAGUCUUGGCCUGAGCUACAGAUUGAGGAGUUGUCAGGAUUUGGUAACAGUCGAAACCAUAUUUAUAGAUGGAAUUAUCCGAAAGAAGUGAAUACAAUUGAGGAGAGAAGGAAAGACCAAUGUUUCCAGUGCAAAGAAAGAGAAGAAACAGACCGAACGGGAACAGCCAGAGUGCAAGCCGGGUGCCCACACUUGUAGUCAAAGGAGCCCCAGGAAUGGACACAGCAGUGUUCAGUGAGGGCUGGAGUGAUUCUGGAGGAUGGCCUUGAAGGAUGGAGAGGAGAGCGAGCGGCCCAGGGCUGGCGCAGCUGCUGAAAUACGUCAUCAGAUGCCCAGGCCUCUUCUGUAAUUUUGCUCUACCAUCCUUGGCUCAUGACUCUAGUCCUCAUGGUCACAAAAUAGCUGCUGCAAUUCCUGGCCUCACAGCAAUGCUCCCAGUGGGAAGAAGGAGGAAGGGCAAAGGGCUCAUUGGUCCUUUUGUUUUGUUUUGUUUUGGUUUUUUCAAGUCAGGGAAACAAGAUUUUCCAGAAGUCUCGCUUCGCUGACUUUACCUCCAUCUCACAGGUCACUGUGAUGUCCCACGCUCACCCUGAGCUAGAAAGGGUGACGAAAAAGACAGUUGUGGAUGAAGAUGAGAAGCAACAGUAUCUGCUCUGCUGAAGAAACAACCAUGCAGUUCUAUGAGUGCGUCGCACAUAUGUGUGGGAUACCACUGGUGGUGGGAAUCAGAAGGAAGAGGGGAUACGUUUCCCACUCCUGAAGGGAAAUCACUAGACAGAUUUGUCUCACCUGAGAAUGCGACAGAAGCCAGUUAGUACACAUUGAGACAGAGCCUGGGUUUCUUCACACUUGUCUCCAAAUAUCCAGCCAAUUUGAGAAACAGGGUGACCUCAUGGACCCUGGCCACAUGUUACUAACUACCAAAUAAGGUGGACAUAAACAUUUCAGAUCAAGGUGAUGAACCUCUAACUGACAGAGGGUCCAUUCUUGCCGGAGAGACUGAAAUGACUCCAAGAAGACAGCA